rnacentral:rRNA from 1 species
GAUGAACGCUGGCGGCGUGCUUAACACAUGCAAGUCGAACGAAGCAGAUUGAGAUCUUCGGAAGGAUAUCUGACUGCGUGGCGGACGGGUGAGUAACGCGUGGGUAACCUGCCUCAUACAGGGGGAUAACAGUUAGAAAUGACUGCUAAUACCGCAUAAGCGCACAGUACCGCAUGGUACGGUGUGAAAAACUCCGGUGGUAUGAGAUGGACCCGCGUCUGAUUAGCUAGUUGGUGGGGUAACGGCCUACCAAGGCGACGACCAGUAGCCGACCUGAGAGGGUGACCGGCCACAUUGGGACUGAGACACGGCCCAAACUCCUACGGGAGGCAGCAGUGGGGAAUAUUGCACAAUGGGCGAAAGCCUGAUGCAGCGACGCCGCGUGAGUGAAGAAGUAUUUCGGUAUGUAAAGCUCUAUCAGCAGGGAAGAAAAUGACGGUACCUGACUAAGUAGCACCGGCUAAAUACGUGCCAGCCGCCGCUGUAAAAC